AUGCUGAUGGCCUCCAUCAGGGUCUCGGCCACGCCGGGGUCCCGCCGGCACAUCCUGCGCUGCUUCUUCUCCAGCUUCAGGCGGUCACAGACUUUGUAGUGGGCUUUGACAGCGGCUUCCUCCAUUUCUGAGGUCAGAGGGAGGAUGGUCAGGGGUUCGUUGCCCGUCAACCCGAAGUAGGCGGCGGAGGGCCGCGGGGUGCAGGCGAGCAGCCCUAGAAGCGCGCAGGAGGAGAGCCAUCCCAGCAGGACGUGUCCAUCCAGCAUCUUGCAGCGGCGCCGGCGCUGCUCAUCUCGUUCCCCCGCCG
rnacentral:lncRNA from 1 species